UGGCCUUGACAUACUAAGAACUUUCCAGAGAUGGAUUGGUGCCUUUCGGGAACUUAGAUACAGGUGCUGCAUGGCUGUCGUCAGCUCGUGUCGUGAGAUGUUGGGUUAAGUCCGCAACGAGCGCAACCCUUUCCUAUUUGCCAGCGGGUAAUGCCGGGAACUUUAAGGAUACUGCCAGUGACAAACUGGAGGAAGGCGGGGACGACGUCAAGUCAUCAUGGCCCUUACGGCCAGGGCUACACACGUGCUACAAUGGUCGGUACAAAGGGUUGCUACCUCGCGAGAGGAUGCUAAUCUCAAAAAGCCGAUCGUAGUCCGGAUCGCAGUCUGCAACUCGACUGCGUGAAGUCGGAAUCGCUAGUAAUCGCGGAUCAGAAUGCCGCGGUGAAUACGUUCCCGGGCCUUGUACACACCGCCCGUCACACCAUGGGAGUUUGUUGCACCAGAAGUAGGUAGUCUAACCGCAAGGAGGACGCUUACCACGGUGUGGCCGAUGACUGGGGUGAAGUCGUAACAAGGUAAGCGUAGAUGA
rnacentral:rRNA from 1 species